GCAGAGGGCGCCAUUGCCUAAAUAAACAAGUAGCCUAAAAAAGAAGACGUCCGUUCAGAUUGCUCGGUAAACAACAACCGUGAUUAUAAAGGCUACUCUAGAGGCAUAAAUUAAAAUAUAUAAUAGUCUCUAUAAUAUGAUGUAGAACAAUAACAGAAACAACGUAUUAUAUGUUUAUUAUAGCCUAUAUUUAUAUAUACUGAUCUGCGUCACUGUAACAAUUGUAUGGCAGUCGGCAAAACGUUGUUUCAGCUGGAUGCAAUAUUAGAAACUUGCCGAGAAAGAAUGUUAUCCACAAUGAGCUUUUUCAUCGUCUUAUUUGAGGGACAGCUUGGCCUCAGAAACGAAUAUCUGACCUAAUCUGAGUGCAGGAGUCCAGAAAUACCUUGGCUGUCAGCACCGGGACGGAACAAUAGCCUCCCAGUCCUGUAAAACCCAGGAUCACUGAGGGAGAACAUACUUUCCAAUAGCAGGUGUUUGAGUCUGUCAGUACCUGCUCCUCACCACGACUGCCGGUGAAAGGCUCGGGUUGUCCAGAGAUGCAUUAUCACAUUGCAGUUGCCUAAGAAAUUAAGCCAAAUUGUGGAUAUAAUGGCUGAGGCUUGAGAGAACACAACGUGAGGGCCUGGACGGGGGGAGAGCGGAUGAGUGAUUCCUGGCACAACCGGAGAGAAAAGAGAGAAAGAAGGAGACAGAAAGAGUAAGAGCGAGAGAAGUAUACUGACUGGUGCUUAGCUCGAAUGAAAGCUCCUGCUUUGCGGACCAGAGAUCAAAACUGAGGGGGCCGGUCUGGGUCUUCACCUGGGCCCUUUGUCAUUGAUAAGUCUGUCAUCCCUGCUGAUAUUGGAGCAGUAAUGGCAACCGAUGAUUAGCCCACUCCUGAGCCAUUAACCACAUUUCUUAUCCCUCUGCUCAUGCUCCGCAGGGGAAAGACACACAAAGAGAUCCUUUAUAGCCCUUCAGCCUUAAACUCCGAGGCCGUGUCCACCUGACCUGAAAGGCACAACUGUUACGUCCCUUCCACGGAUCGCAGAAGAAGAAGUCCAAGACGAGCUACAUGUCAAAGGUCGCGCCGUGGUGCUACACCAAAUGAGGGGGUUCUGAGUGACCGGCUCGCUGAAAGAGUGCCACGAAGAAAAUUACACAAAAUUGUCUGUUUUGUCAACAUUUCAUCGGUAGAUUCGCACAAGAAAAAGACCCCCGGUCAUUUUGUGGCGCAGGCCCUCCGCUCUCCCUCAGAUAGCUAAAGGGAUUGAGCUGCUCAGAAUUUGACUGACAAACAAAUCUCCUCAUUAUUUCUGUCUCUAUCCCCCCUCAGUACGCCUCUUAACCGGCGAUAUUUAAUAUGAUCUCUUUUUAAUGAUCCUUAAGUGGCUGAAAUUACAUCCCCUGAAAAACAUGUAAGGUUUGAUGGAGGUAUUUGAGUUAUAGAGCCUCAACUAAAAAAAAAGGGAAAGGACAAGAAGAAAUUUGUCUCAGUUGGAGAUUAUAUAACUAAGAAAUUGCAAAAAAAAAAAAAAAGGUAACUACUUUUACAAUGUCAACACAUGGUAGUUCACCUCUAGCCUCCGAGAUGUUUUCUUCAACUUUCGUGGACCCUAAAGCCCUUUACUGAAAAUAGUUUGCCGUGGCCUGGGUUAAUCCUGUAAAAAUAUUUCUCCAAAUGCAAGUACCUCUGUAUGUGUCUCAGACACUGUCUGCUCCCAGGAUUUAAACGUCCUGUUUGUAAAGGACGCAGCAGGAAGUGUCUUGACUCUUCACACACCUCUUCAGGGUGCUGACCGCUCCCUUUAAAUCACUUCCACUAGUCUUGUCAUGCUUGUGUGCUGUCCAUGAUUAACUGCCUGGUAUAUGAUGCCUUAGUUACAUCUGUACAGUGUAAAUACAGUGUAAACGCUUGGAUUUUGCAUUUUUCUAAUUUAAUACAAUCCCUUUAAUACUGUUUUUCCAUUAUUUUUUCUUACAUUUUUUUCUCUCAUUUUGUUUACCCUAAAACAUUCUGUUUAUUUGCAGAUUUAAAUUAGAUUUUGCA